CCUACGGGAGGCAGCAGUGAGGAAUAUUGGUCAAUGGACGAGAGUCUGAACCAGCCAAGUAGCGUGAAGGAUGACUGCCCUAUGGGUUGUAAACUUCUUUUAUAAGGGAAUAAAACGAGGUACGUGUGCCUUUUUGCACGUACUUUAUGAAUAAGGAUCGGCUAACUCCGUGCCAGCAGCCGCGGUAAUACGGAGGAUCCGAGCGUUAUCCGGAUUUAUUGGGUUUAAAGGGAGCGUAGAUGGGUUGUUAAGUCAGUUGUGAAAGUUUGCGGCUCAACCGUAAAAUUGCAAUUGAUACUGGCAGUCUUGAGUACAGUUGAGGUAGGCGGAAUUCGUGGUGUAGCGGUGAAAUGCUUAGAUAUCACGAAGAACCCCGAUUGCGAAGGCAGCUUACUAAACUGUGACUGACAUUGAUGCUCGAAAGUGUGGGGAUCAAACAGGAUUAGAUACCCCUGUAGUC
rnacentral:rRNA from 1 species